UACAGAGGGUGCAAGCGUUACUCGGAAUUACUGGGCGUAAAGCGUGCGUAGACGGUUACAUAAGUCGGGUGUGAAAGCCCCGGGCUCAACCUGGGAAUUGCAUUCGAGACUGCGUAGCUAGGGUGCGGAAGAGGGAAGCGGAAUUUCCGGUGUAGCGGUGAAAUGCGUAGAUAUCGGAAGGAACACCAGUGGCGAAAGCGGCUUCCUGGUCCAGCACCGACGUUCAGGCACGAAAGCGUGGGGAGCAAACAGG
rnacentral:rRNA from 1 species